rnacentral:rRNA from 1 species
GAAUAUUUGACAAUGGGCGAAAGCCUGAUCCAGCCAUGCCGCGUGUGUGAAGAAGGCCUUCGGAUUGUAAAGCACUUUAAGUUGGGAGGAAGGGCAGUAAGCGACUACCUUGCUGUUUUGACGUUACCGCCAGAAUAAGCCCCGGCUAACUCUGUGCCAGCAGCCGCGGUAAGGCAGAGGGUGCAAGAGUUAAUCGGAAUUACUGGGCGUAAAGCGGGCGUAGGUGGUUCGUUAAGUUGGAUGUGAAAUCCCCGGGCUCAACCGGGGAACUGCAUCCAAAACUGGCGAGCUAGAGUAGGGCAGAGGGUGGUAGAAUUUCCUGUGUAGCGGUGAAAUGCGUAGAUAUAGGAAGGAACACCAGUGGCGAAGGCAACCACCUGGGCUCAUACUGACACUGAGGUGCGAAAGCGUGGGGAGCAAACA